rnacentral:tRNA from 1 species
GGCGUGGUAGCCAAGUGGUAAGGCAAGGCUCUGCAAAAGCUUCACCGUGGGUUCGAUUCCCACCCAUGCCU